AAGUCGUAACAAGGUAACCGUAGGUGAACCUGCGGUUGGAUCAUUAAAAAAUAUUUGGUCUUGUGCCAAAUCAACACCUGUGUGCACCAUUGUCUGUAUUUGGUAGUUCGAGUGCGUUCCUAGAGCUCAACACUCAGGGGACGCCUACCACUGCGUUGGCGGUGUGGGUUUUCAAGUCGCGGCUUUAUGCCGCGCUCUUGGGGUCCCUCGCCUGCUUUGGUUGGGCUACCGCCUUUUUUGAAAAACAUAUUGUUUUUGUUUUUGUUUUUCUGUCUGAACAAAGAUUUGAUCUUUAUAGAUUAAUGAUUUGAAAACAACUUUUGACAACGGAUCUCUUGGCUCUC
rnacentral:misc_RNA from 1 species